rnacentral:snRNA from 1 species
GGAUGUGAGGGCAAUCUGGCUAUGGCAUCUGUCAUUGAUCUCUCAUUGAUCACCAUGGUUGUUCCAGCUCUGCUGGCUGGCCAGGCAGGGGUCCUCAUCCUCCCUCACAGCUCCAUGUGCCCACCUCCCAAAGCAUGCUUGCUCGAAGAGGCCAGCCUUCCCCAACCCCCUAGAGAGGACCAGUCUUCGUUCAAGGGCAUAUGAGUUGCUGUGCUCUUCUGCUAUAAUCUUCUAACAUGCCCUCAAAAAUUAGGGAGCUUAGUCACGUCAAUAUAGUCCUUCGUGCACAUUCAGGAAGUUCAGGGGCUGGAGAAAUGGCUCAGCGGUUAAGGCGUUUGCCU